rnacentral:rRNA from 1 species
CUUACCUGCAAGUCGAACGGCAGCACGGGAGCAAUCCUGGUGGCGAGUGGCGAACGGGUGAGUAAUACAUCGGAACGUGCCCAAUCGUGGGGGAUAACGCAGCGAAAGCUGUGCUAAUACCGCAUACGAUCUACGGAUGAAAGCAGGGGAUCGCAAGACCUUGCGCGAAUGGAGCGGCCGAUGGCAGAUUAGGUAGUUGGUGAGGUAAAGGCUCACCAAGCCUUCGAUCUGUAGCUGGUCUGAGAGGACGACCAGCCACACUGGGACUGAGACACGGCCCAGACUCCUACGGGAGGCAGCAGUGGGGAAUUUUGGACAAUGGGCGAAAGCCUGAUCCAGCCAUGCCGCGUGCAGGAUGAAGGCCUUCGGGUUGUAAACUGCUUUUGUACGGAACGAAAAGGUUCUUUCUAAUAAAGAGAGCUCAUGACGGUACCGUAAGAAUAAGCACCGGCUAACUACGUGCCAGCAGCCGCGGUAAUACGUAGGGUGCAAGCGUUAAUCGGAAUUACUGGGCGUAAAGCGUGCGCAGGCGGUUAUAUAAAACAGUUGUGAAAUCCCCGGGCUCAACCUGGGAACUGCAUCUGUGA